UUGUGAGCGCCCGACUCGCCAGCAAAG
rnacentral:misc_RNA from 1 species